rnacentral:rRNA from 1 species
UACAUACUGUGCGAACGUUAUUCGGAUUCACUGGGCUUAAAGGGUGCGUAGGCGGCUUGUUAAGUAGGGUGUGAAAGCCCCCAGCUCAACUGGGGAACUGCACUCUAUACUGGCGAGCUGGAGUGAGAUAGGGGUGUGUGGAACUGCCAGUGGAGCGGUGAAAUGUGUUGAUAUUGGCAGGAACGCCGGUGGCGAAAGCGGCAUCCUGGACCAACACUGACGCUGAGUGAGCGAAAGCCAGGGGAGCAAACGGG